rnacentral:ribozyme from 1 species
AACGUCACUGCCAACGUCACUCAAGGAUCGACGACUGCGGCGAUGGUGGCGGCGGGGGGUGUCACUGCCCGCAAGCGACAAGGACGACGAGGGCAAUGCUCCGUUCGUAAGGUUCCUUCGCAGUUGCUGCCGCUGC